CUAUUGAGACAAGCUGUUAGCUUGCUUGAAAAUGGUCCAUCCUCUUUUGUAACUCAGACACAGCCCUCAUCUAGUAGCACACUUGCUACAUCAGCACUGCAAACAGAACGCAACAGUACAGUGUCAACCAACAGGACAACCAAUGCUUUGCAGGAACACAGACAGCUAUUUCAACGUCAAUCAAGGGUGCAUCCGUACCGAAGAAAUGUUCAGGUGCAGGCAAGGAGCACUGCAAGAAAAGAGAAAACAAUCACUCGGACAAUAGUAUGUUUAGCUGACAAAUAUGCAAAUAAUGUUCCUUCCUCACUCUUAAAGCUUCAG